rnacentral:rRNA from 1 species
UGGGGAAUAUUGGACAAUGGGCGAAAGCCUGAUCCAGCCAUGCCGCGUGUGUGAAGAAGGUCUUCGGAUUGUAAAGCACUUUAAGUUGGGAGGAAGGGCAUUAACCUAAUACGUUAGUGUUUUGAAGUUACCGACAGAAUAAGCACCGGCUAACUCUGUGCCAGCAGCCGCGGUAAUACAGAGGGUGCAAGCGUUAAUCGGAAUUACUGGGCGUAAAGCGCGCGUAGGUGGUUUGUUAAGUUGGAUGUGAAAUCCCCGGGCUCAACCUGGGAACUGCAUUCAAAACUGACUGACUAGAGUAUGGUAGAGGGUGGUGGAAUUUCCUGUGUAGCGGUGAAAUGCGUAGAUAUAGGAAGGAACACCAGUGGCGAAGGCGACCACCUGGACUAAUACUGACACUGAGGUGCGAAAGCGUGGGGAGCAAACA